GCCGGGCGCGGUGGCUCACGCCUGUAAUCCCAGCAUUUUGGGAGGCUGAGGCGGGUGGAUCACCUGAGGUCAGGAGUUCGAGACCAGCCUGGCCAACAUGGUGAAACCCCGUCUCUA
ensembl:misc_RNA Metazoa_SRP Metazoan signal recognition particle RNA